rnacentral:rRNA from 1 species
UACGUAGGGGGCGAGCGUUGUCCGGAAUUAUUGGGCGUAAAGAGCUCGUAGGCGGUUCGUCGCGUCGGCUGUGAAAUCCCGGAGCUCAACUCCGGGUCUGCAGUCGAUACGGGCGGACUCGAGUUCGGCAGGGGAGACUGGAAUUCCUGGUGUAGCGGUGAAAUGCGCAGAUAUCAGGAGGAACACCGGUGGCGAAGGCGGGUCUCUGGGCCGAUACUGACGCUGAGGAGCGAAAGCGUGGGGAGCGAACAGG